CGGACGGGUGAGUAAUGUCGUGGGAAACUGCCUGAUGGAGGGGGAUAACUACUGGAAACGGUAGCUAAUACCGCAUAACGUCGCAAGACCAAAGAGGGGGACCUUCGGGCCUCUUGCCAUCGGAUGUGCCCAGAUGGGAUUAGCUAGUAGGUGGGGUAAGGCUCACCUAGGCGACGAUCCCUAGCUGGUCUGAGAGGAUGACCAGCCACACUGGAACUGAGACACGGUCCAG
rnacentral:rRNA from 1 species